UACGUAGGGGGCAAGCGUUAUCCGGAUUUACUGGGUGUAAAGGGAGCGUAGACGGUGAUGCAAGUCAGAAGUGAAAGCCCGGGGCUCAACUCCGGGACUGCUUUUGAAACUGUGUAACUGGAGUGCAGGAGAGGUAAGCGGAAUUCCUGGUGUAGCGGUGAAAUGCGUAGAUAUCAGGAGGAACACCAGUGGCGAAGGCGGCUUACUGGACUGUAACUGACGUUGAGGCUCGAAAGCGUGGGGAGCAAACA
rnacentral:rRNA from 1 species